AGGACGAACGCUGGCGGCGUGCUUAACACAUGCAAGUCGAGCGAGGCCCUUCCUUCGGGGAGGUGCCCUAGCGGCGAACGGGUGAGUAACACGUGGGCAACCUGCCCCUAGCACUGGGAUAACUCCGGGAAACCGGGGCUAAUACCGGAUAUGACCUUCUUGGGCAUCCUCGAAGGUGUAAAGGAUUCUGGCUAGGGAUGGGCCCGCGGCCUAUCAGCUUGUUGGUGGGGUAAUGGCCUACCAAGGCGACGACGGGUAGCCGGCCUGAGAGGGUGACCGGCCACACUGGGACUGAGACACGGCCCAGACUCCUACGGGAGGCAGCAGUGGGGAAUCUUGCACAAUGGGCGAAAGCCUGAUGCAGCGACGCCGCGUGAGGGAUGACUGCCUUCGGGUUGUAAAGCUCUGUGGGAGAGACGAAUAAGUCGUAGCUAAUACCUCCGAUGAUGACGGUAUCUCCUUAGCAAGCACCGGCUAACUCUGCGCCAGCAGCCG
rnacentral:rRNA from 1 species